ensembl:lncRNA
UUGUAAAGGACACUUAUGCUAUGUAUUUUUCAUUUUUCUAAACUUUAUACUUUUUAAAAUGUUAAAUAAAAACUAAUACAAUUUCUCCCAUUGACUUACAUUGGGCCAUUAUGACAUCAUAAUAGGGUCUUUAAACUGGCUUGCACCUGUGCUUCACUGACACCUGCGCCAAGGUUCCAAGGCUCCUCUUCUCUCUGUCCCUCUCCAUUCAACUGUAUAACUAGGAAUAUUAUUCUUUCCUUCUUCCACUCUUCUUCUUUCGUUCUUCCACUCUUCUUUCCUUCUUCCACUCUCCUUUCCUUUCUUCUUUCCUUCUUCCACUCUUCUUUCCUUCUUCUACUCUUCUUUUCUUUCUUCACUCUUCUUUCCUUCUUCCACUCUUCUUUCCUUCUUCUACUCUUCUUUCCUUUCUUCACUCUUCUUUCUUUUCUUCUUUCCUUCUUCCACUC